GCGCCUGCGCAAUCGAGCUGGAGGCUGCAGUUACUUUUUUCAAAGAGUGUCUCGCUGGCGGUGGAUGCGGUUGUUUGAAGGUGGAGGAGGGAAAGCGGUGAGGUAACCGGGUCCUGGAGAGAAAAGACAGAGCUGGGCCGGACCGGACCAGGCCAGGCCUCGUAAGGCAGGCGGUUAACUGAAGCACCGAAACCGGGCCCGAGAACGAGGUUUGAAGGGUGACGGUUUGGCGAGGAGCGCCUGUGUUUCUAAAAGGAAAAGGAGGAGUGGGAGGAAGAAGGGGAGAGGAAAAAAAAACCGUUCGUCAAUAAGUGAACGAUAAAUGUGGCUAGGAAAUCGUGUACACGGGGAGAGAGAGGAGAACGAAAAAGGCCCGAGUCUUGCAGCGUGAGCCGAGGGGGCGGCCCUCAGAAGCCCGGAGCGCUGCGUUAGCAGAGAAGGGAAGGCGCCAUGGCUGGUACCAAUUACAAUUGCCUUAACCGAGCUCAACUGACCUUCGAAUACCUACACACCAAUUCAACCACUCAUGAGUUUCUUUUUGGAGCAUUGGCAGAGCUAGUAGACAAUGCCAGGGGAUUGUGGAAAAUUUCCUGGGGGCCUGCGAGGCAAUGAAGAUGUGGUCUGUUUCUGUAAUGGCACCUUCCAUUAGCUGUUCUUCAAGGGUUGCAGCUAAAGGAGUUUCCUGUCAAACCUCAAAGUGGGGAGAAUGCCUGGUGGACUUGCACAAUGAAAUACCCAAACAAUCACUGGGCAGGCACUGGAGUUGAGGCACCUUUGGAAAUCAAUCAAGCGUGACCUUGAAUGGGCUGAAAAUCCUGGGGGAGGAGAUGAGAGGCCCAGAGGCAUUGGAAAUGGAAUCAAGCCAAGUUUCUGAAUUUCAGUUGAAACUGUGCUCCCAGAUACUGGUGGUGUUCUAAAGGCAGAUAUGCUGCAUAUUUUGCACCAUGCCAGUGAUGUUCCAGCAGGGAUAGUGAAAAAUCCUUAAGCAACUGUGCUGUCAAGCAGCUGGUGGGGGUUAACUUGCAAAACUUCCAACUGUAAUCAUCAAGUCUAACCACCUGGAAGAGCAGGACUGUGUUGUGAAGUAUUCAACAGACUGAACUCGCCAGAGUUACCUUUCAGCUGGAGGUAAAAUUUAAAAUUCACUCUCUUUUGCCCCAAAGCACCAGG